rnacentral:lncRNA from 1 species
CACGGUGACAGGACUGUCCAGGCUGGUGUGCUCCACUUGGCAGGUGUAGACAUCUCCCUGCUGGGGGGUCAUUUCCAGCAUCACCAGGAUCUGGAAGGUCCAGUCUCCAUUACGGAUCAGGUUGGUGGACACGACCCCAGCUGUUUCCUCCUGUCCAUUCAGGAACCAUCGGACUUGAAUGCUGCCUGGGUAGAAAUCCGUCACGUGGCAGACAAGCAGGUUGUGGUGCUGCAAGGGCCCCUUCUUGGAGGGGGAAACAUUCACCCUAGGCUGGACUAGGA